rnacentral:rRNA from 1 species
UACCCGAAGGUGGUGCGCUAACCGGCAACGGAGGCAGCCAACCACGGUCAGGUCAGCGACUGGGGUGAAGUCGUAACAAGGUAGCCGUAGGGGAACCUGCGGCUGGAUCACCUCCUUUCUAAGG